UACGUAGGGUGCAAGCGUUAUCCGGAAUUAUUGGGCGUAAAGAGCUCGUAGGCGGUUUGUCGCGUCUGCUGUGAAAACUGGAGGCUCAACCUCCAGCCUGCAGUGGGUACGGGCAGACUAGAGGUAGGUAGGGGAGAAUGGAAUUCCUGGUGUAGCGGUGAAAUGCGCAGAUAUCAGGAGGAACACCGAUGGCGAAGGCAGGUCUCUGGGCCGAUACUGACGCUGAGGAGCGAAAGCGUGGGGAGCGAACAGG
rnacentral:rRNA from 1 species